rnacentral:rRNA from 1 species
GACGAAGGGGGCUAGCGUUGUUCGGAAUUACUGGGCGUAAAGCGCGUGUAGGCGGUUGUCCAAGUUGGAUGUGAAAGCCUUGAGCUCAACUCAAGAAAUGCAUUCAGGACUGGAUGACUAGAGGACCGGAGAGGAUAGUGGAAUUCCCAGUGUAGUGGUGAAAUACGUAGAGAUUGGGAAGAACACCAGUGGCGAAGGCGGGUCUCUGGACAGUUCCUGACGCUGAGGCACGAAGGCCAGGGGAGCAAACGGG